rnacentral:rRNA from 1 species
UACGUAGGGUGCGAGCGUUAAUCGGAAUUACUGGGCGUAAAGCGUGCGCAGGCGGCGCGUUAAGACAGGUGUGAAAGCCCCGAGCUUAACUUGGGAAUUGCGCUUGUGACUGGCGGGCUGGAGUGUGGCAGAGGGGGGUGGAAUUCCACGUGUAGCAGUGAAAUGCGUAGAGAUGUGGAGGAACACCGAUGGCGAAGGCAGCCCCCUGGGCUAACACUGACGCUCAUGCACGAAAGCGUGGGGAGCAAACAGG